GGCUGGGAAAAACGGAGCGUUUUCCUUUGGCUGCCCUAAGGGACCCAGCGCUGAUUCACGUGGGCAGCGGUGAGUCCGGGUGUAUAUUGGAAACUGAUUUACAAGUAAAAGGAUGUGGCUGGGCCAGGAGAUGGGCCAAGGCUGGACUCCAUGGGACUCCAGGUAUUGAUCAUCGGGUGCUGAUCAUCGCAUAAAUGGCCCAAGAUGGAUCUCGUGGAAAUCCUCAGACAGAUCCAUGUGAAUGCAGCCUUCCUGUAAAUCUCAUCAGGGAUUCACCUACUCUGGACAUUGAAUUAUUCCUCCUCAUCACCAAAAA